rnacentral:rRNA from 1 species
GAUGAACGCUAGCGGCAGGCCUAACACAUGCAAGUCGAACGGCAGCACAGAUAGUUUACUAUUGGGUGGCGAGUGGCGCACGGGUGCGUAACGCGUAUGCAACCUACCUCUAACCGGGGGAUAGCCCGAAGAAAUUCGGAUUAAUACCGCAUAAUAUUAUGAGUCUGCAUGGAUUUAUAAUUAAAGUAACAACAGUUAGAGAUGGGCAUGCGUGACAUUAGAUAGUUGGAGAGGUAACGGCUCACCAAGUCAACGAUGUCUAGGGGGUCUGAGAGGAUUACUCCCCCANACUGGUACUGAGACACGGACCAGACUCCUACGGGA